GUCCAGCCCGUCGCAGCGCCGACUUUUCUCGACGCAGAGUCCGGUGGAGCACAAGAAGUGACUUUCAGGACACGCUGCGGAGAAGUCGAGAGUGGCGGCACAAACAUGAGGAAAGACUCCACACAUCAGAGUCACCAUUGAUGAGAAUGGAAUCGAUGUCUACAGGCAGGUCCAGCAGGUAGCCCACCGAUGAGCGGUUCUUCAGGCUGGUGUGGACCGAAUCCCUGAGGAUGACGCCCACGCACUCCUCGCACACCACCGCGCUUUCCAGCCGAGGGACCUCAAACACCAUCCAGAAGUGCACCAGUACGCCUCCCUUACUGUUGGUACUGACGUUUUUUGACAAGACCAUACCAGCCAAUAAAGUCAAUGUUACAAUGA